UUCAACACAGGGGAAACUUGGAAACAAGGAAAGAGUUCAGGCAGAAGUGGAAUGCUGAGCCCUGGGUCUUCCUCCCACUUCUGCCUGAACUCUUUCCUUGUUUCCAAGUUUCCCCUGUGUUGAA
rnacentral:miRNA from 1 species